GACGAACGCUGGCGGCGUGCCUAACACAUGCAAGUCGAGCGGAGAUAAGCGGAAGGUAACUGAAGCUUAUCUUAGCGGCGGACGGGUGAGUAACACGUGGGCAACCUGCCUUGAAGUGGGGGAUAACACCGGGAAAUCGGUGCUAAUACCGCAUAACAUACACAAACUGCAUGGUAAGUGUAUCAAAGGAGCAAUCCGCUUUAAGAUGGGCCCGCGGCUGAUUAGCUAGUUGGUAAGGUAACGGCUUACCAAGGCGACGAUCAGUAGCCGACCUGAGAGGGUGACCGGCCACACUGGAACUGAGACACGGUCCAGACUCCUACGGGAGGCAGCAGUGGGGAAUAUUGCGCAAUGGGGGGAACCCUGACGCAGCAACGCCGCGUGGAGGAAGAAGGUCUUCGGAUUGUAAACUCCUGUCUUCUGGGACGAAUAAUGACGGUACCAGAGGAGGAAGCCAGGCUAACUACGUGCCAGCAGGCCGCGGUAAACACGGAGAGUA
rnacentral:rRNA from 1 species